rnacentral:rRNA from 1 species
CGUUGGCGGCGUGGAUUAGGCAUGCAAGUCGAACGGGGGAGUAGCAAUACUCUAGUGGCGAAAGGGACAGUAAUACGUAGAUACGUACCCUCCGGCCUGGGAUAGUCCACCGAAAGGUGGGGUAAUACCAGAUAAUGUCUCCGGACCAAAGGUGUGAUUCCACCGGGGGAGCGGUCUGCGUCCUAUUAGCUUGUUGGCGGGGUAAUGGCCCACCAAGGCGAUGAUGGGUAGCGGGUGUGAGAGCACGACCCGCGUCAUUGGGACUGAGACACUGCCCAGACACCUACGGGUGGCUGCAGUCGAGGAUCUUCGGCAAUGAGCGCAAGCUUGACCGAGCGACGCCGCGUGCGGGAUGAAGGCUUUCGGGUUGUAAACCGCUGUCAGUGGGGAGGAAAUUUAGGUGGGUACUCUCAUCUAAUUGACUUAUCCGCAGAGGAAGCAAGGGCUAAGUUCGUGCCAGCAGCCGCGGUAAGACGAACCUCGCUAACGUUAUUCGGAAUUACUGGGCUUAAAGGGUGCGUAGGCGGUGCGGAAAGUUGGGUGUGAAAGCCCUCGGCUCAACCGAGGAAUUGCGCCCAAAACUGCCGCACUAGAGGAAGACGGAGGUACGCGGAACUUAGGGUGGAGCGGUGAAAUGCGUUGAUAUCCUAAGGAACACCGGUGGCGAAAGCGGCGUACUGGGUCUUAUCUGACGCUGAGGCACGAAAGCUAG